UCAGUUCUUGUUUGCACAGCUUGCCGCGUGCACUGCCUCGACAACCAUGUUUUUUAAACUUUCAUUUUAUCCUUUUUUAAAGCGCGAAGCAAAGGGAAUCCUAGAAUCUGGUUAAUUUCAACAUCAUGAGGAUUAUCACACAGUUUCUUCUCGUUACAACUAGUGUGUGCUGCCUCUCGGCAUCCGGAGUUAAAGAUGUCGGCGAGAUUUCCACCGAAAAGAAGAAAGCCAAAGAGAUGUCGAUCCGAGAUUACCAGCAAAUGGAUUUGCUUGCGUUAGAAUAUCUUACCUAUGCCGUCCAGAUACUUGAAGGGAAGUUGAAGUUUAUGAAAUUUUUUCGUAAGCAUUAUUUGGUCGAAGAAUCGGCACUGAAGCUGGAUCCCUAUCGUUUUACGAGUGAUGCAAUUCAACACUUCAAAAUAAUGAAACGGUUUGUUCAUGAUUGGGACGAGAUGUUCAAAGUGGUUAAGGACAAUCAAAUCCCAGAUUUAGACAAGCAAUACGAUAAAAAGGUCAAAAAAUAUGAUUGGCCAUCGGACGAGCGUCUCAGAGAGGUUGUUGAGAAUUAUUUGGAUCUUCAAAAAAAGAAAAAACUCUCUGCCAAGGCCCUAGCCGACCAGAAAUUUGCAGGGGCCAAGUACGAGACAAAACUUAGAAGUAGUGACUGCCACGCUAUCGCAGCGCAUUUAAUUUACGACCCCAAGAGGCAGUCGCUCGCUCUCGAAUGGCUGAAAGAGGCGUACGCGAGGUUUCAUGAAAAAAUGAAACGGAGCGUUACAAGCAAUCACUCCUACUGGAUCUAGCAUUUACUCUCUCUGAAACAGGUCACACCAGAGAGGCGGUCGACUUUGCUGAAAAUUUCACGAGAACAAACAUGGAAAACGAAUAUAUCUACGUCGAUAUGCACAGAUAUCUUACAGCUAGACUCGAAAAUCGGCCAGUUGAGGACUUGAAGGAGUACACAACUCCCGUAAGUUGCUAUCACCAUAAAUUAUACUUCAAUCCGAAGAGUAUGGCCAUAUGAAAGUCACAAACAUAAUUUAAGUUCAGAACAGGA
rnacentral:lncRNA from 1 species